rnacentral:rRNA from 1 species
GAGUUUGAUCCUGGCUCAGAGUGAACGCUGGCGGCGUGCCUAAUACAUGCAAGUCGAACGAUGAAGCUUCUAGCUUGCUAGAGUGCUGAUUAGUGGCGCACGGGUGAGUAACGCAUAGGUCAUGUGCCUCUUAGUUUGGGAUAGCCAUUGGAAACGAUGAUUAAUACCAGAUACUCCCUACGGGGGAAAGAUUUAUCGCUAAGAGAUCAGCCUAUGUCCUAUCAGCUUGUUGGUAAGGUAAUGGCUUACCAAGGCUAUGACGGGUAUCCGGCCUGAGAGGGUGAACGGACACACUGGAACUGAGACACGGUCCAGACUCCUACGGGAGGCAGCAGUAGGGAAUAUUGCUCAAUGGGGGAAACCCUGAAGCAGCAACGCCGCGUGGAGGAUGAAGGUUUUAGGAUUGUAAACUCCUUUUGUUAGAGAAGAUAAUGACGGUAUCUAACGAAUAAGCACCGGCUAACUCCGUGCCAGCAGCCGCGGUAAUACGGAGGGUGCAAGCGUUACUCGGAAUCACUGGGCGUAAAGAGCGCGUAGGCGGGAUAGUCAGUCAGGUGUGAAAUCCUAUGGCUUAACCAUAGAACUGCAUUUGAAACUACUAUUCUAGAGUGUGGGAGAGGUAGGUGGAAUUCUUGGUGUAGGGGUAAAAUCCGUAGAGAUCAAGAGGAAUACUCAUUGCGAAGGCGACCUGCUGGAACAUUACUGACGCUGAUUGCGCGAAAGCGUGGGGAGCAAACAGGAUUAGAUACCCUGGUAGUCCACGCCCUAAACGAUGGAUGCUAGUUGUUGGAGGGCUUAGUCUCUCCAGUAAUGCAGCUAACGCAUUAAGCAUCCCGCCUGGGGAGUACGGUCGCAAGAUUAAAACUCAAAGGAAUAGACGGGGACCCGCACAAGCGGUGGAGCAUGUGGUUUAAUUCGAAGAUACACGAAGAACCUUACCUAGGCUUGACAUUGAGAGAAUCCGCUAGAAAUAGUGGAGUGUCUGGCUUGCCAGACCUUGAAAACAGGUGCUGCACGGCUGUCGUCAGCUCGUGUCGUGAGAUGUUGGGUUAAGUCCCGCAACGAGCGCAACCCCCUUUCUUAGUUGCUAACAGGUUAUGCUGAGAACUCUAAGGAUACUGCCUCCGUAAGGAGGAGGAAGGUGGGGACGACGUCAAGUCAUCAUGGCCCUUACGCCUAGGGCUACACACGUGCUACAAUGGGGUGCACAAAGAGAAGCAAUACUGCGAAGUGGAGCCAAUCUUCAAAACACCUCUCAGUUCGGAUUGUAGGCUGCAACUCGCCUGCAUGAAGCUGGAAUCGCUAGUAAUCGCAAAUCAGCCAUGUUGCGGUGAAUACGUUCCCGGGUCUUGUACUCACCGCCCGUCACACCAUGGGAGUUGUGUUUGCCUUAAGUCAGGAUGCUAAAUUGGCUACUGCCCACGGCACACACAGCGACUGGGGUGAAGUCGUAACAAGGUAACCGUAGGUGAACCUGCGGUUGGAUCACC